rnacentral:rRNA from 1 species
GGGGAAUAUUGCACAAUGGGCGAAAGCCUGAUGCAGCAACGCCGCGUGAGUGAUGAAGGUCUUCGGAUUGUAAAGCUCUGUCUUUUGGGACGAUAAUGACGGUACCAAAGGAGGAAGCCACGGCUAACUACGUGCCAGCAGCCGCGGUAAUACGUAGGUGGCGAGCGUUGUCCGGAUUUACUGGGCGUAAAGGGUGCGUAGGCGGAUGUUUAAGUGAGAUGUGAAAUACCCGGGCUUAACUUGGGUGCUGCAUUUCAAACUGGAUAUCUAGAGUGCAGGAGAGGAGAAUGGAAUUCCUAGUGUAGCGGUGAAAUGCGUAGAGAUUAGGAAGAACGCCAGUGGCGAAGGCGAUUCUCUGGACUGUAACUGACGCUGAGGCACGAAAGCGUGGGUAGCAAACAGGAUUAGAUACCCUGGUAGUCCACGCCGUAAAACGAUGAGUACUAGGGUGUA